rnacentral:lncRNA from 1 species
GGGGCUUUGGGUAGUGUCCUGGUGCUGCUGCAGAAGAAGUAGGAGGAGAAGAAGAAGCUGGGUUUCAUUCAUCAGUUUGUGUGAGCAGCAGGGUAGGUACUACUCCCUCCCCCAGACCCAGUUGGUGAAGAAAUAUCAGAGAUGUUGACAACUUGAAUCUGCCCUUCCCUUCUCUCCCUGGCACUGAAAUCAGAGCAGACCCCCUCCCUCCCUCCCUCCUCUU